UAGAAAACCUAAUUAAACCUAAGACGACCCGAUUUGUGAUUAUAAACCAUAAUUUAACUAACCCGGUUUAAAUUAAGCAGAAAAAAAUCCCAAUUCUCUCUAUCGCUCGCAAGUAUCGUGAACCCUAGGCAAGACCGAAACUUUGAAUCGAUUUCGUCGUCUGUUCUUCUUCCUUUUCAAAAUGUCUCAGGAAGGAUGGACUGAUGUGAAUAUUGAGUGGAAUAGUGUCCCUGAAUUUGACCAGAGUUAUGAUUCUGAUGGUGAAAACCGACGUGAGCGUAACGACUUCAACAUUGAGAAAGAUGUUUCUGAAUUUGCUGCUCAAGUCUUUCAGUCCUCAUCCCCAAUAUUUCUAUCUCAUCCGCCAAAGCCUCAUCAACCCAUUUGUAUGAGUGGUUAUCAUUGCUAAGCUACACAUACAAAGCAACAUCAUUUCUUCAAAUCUAUGCUAUAUGAACAUCGAAUCUCAGAUUCAUCACACUUACCUUUCGUUCCACCGCAUAUGCACAACGGUAAUAUCGCUGAUAGGGAUUAGCUUCAGACUUGGACAUUCUUGCGACCUCGAUUUCGCCACACCAGCAUUUCUUCGGCACACGAACUACUUGUCUUCUUCUUCGAACACCUGAUGUCUCUGUCGAAGCUCCACUGUCAUUGCUCAUCUUCAAUUAUCACCAGUUAAAGGAAAGAGCUUUUGGGUUCGUUGUUUUUAGGGUUCGUAUAAUUGGGAGUCUUUAAGAACUGGUUUUGAACCGGGUUGAUAUAUUGGAUCUCUGGUCGGGUUAUUUUCGGUCUUCCGGUUUGGUUACCUCUUACGAACCACUAAAUUGAUGAAUAACCGAAGCCAUGUAGGUUCGGGUUUCGAACUUUCAGUUUGGGGGGAAAUAGGUUGUCAAACUUUGAAUAUGGGCAAUUAGGACGAGGUCGAAAGAUGGUGUGGAACUGUUACUAUAUAAUACUUCUCGUGUGGAAAUAGGUCGUUUUCCCUGCAAGCACCUAUAGCCUUUUAAACUGUGUUGUGUAUCUAAGAAACUAUAAUUAAACGGCCUAAAAUAGAGGAGGUUUCGGUUUGAAAGAGUCGUGUGUAGCUUUCUGCGUCAAUUUCUGUUAAUAAAAAAGUCCUAGUCUAGUGGAAGUCAACUUCUAUUUAUGUGUAGCUUUUGUAGGAUUUCUGUUUUCGUAAGGCUUAUAUAAACCAUUCUCACAGUUUUCAUUCUCCAGGUAACGAAAGGGCUUACUUGCAACACUGCAAGGAUCUUUGAUCGAAAACAUGGAUACCUAAGACUUCAGAAGAUUCUCAAGGUUAGUUCUUUCAAAUUAUAAAUUUUUAUGAUUUUUUUUUUUAAAAUUGAUGUUAAAAAAAUUAGUACAAAUGUUUAUGAAUCGAAUAACCCCUUGUUAGCAUUUAGGAAGAGUAUUUGGUUUUUUUUUUUUUUUGGCAUCGAGUAUUUCGAUUCAUGAUUUGAAUGCCUAACAAAAAUCCAUGUGUUAGUUCUAAAACAUUUGCUAUGCCUUGUAUUUUGUUUCUGAGACAUCCAACUUCAGUGAAAUAUUAAAAAAUUAAGUGAAUAACACUAA